rnacentral:rRNA from 1 species
GGGUCAGUAGGUUGGUCGUGCCACCGGUACGUACUGGUCUCACUGAUUUCUCCUUCCUGAAGAACCGUAAUGCCAUUAAUUUGGUGUUGCGGGGAAACAGGACUGUUACUUUGAAAAAAUUAGAGUGUUUAAAGCAAGCUAACGCUUGGAUACAUUAGCAUGGAAUAAUGAAAUAGGACGAUCGAUCCUAUUUUGUUGGUUUCUAGGAUUGACGUA